AAUCGUUAUCCAGUUCAAGGUGAACCAACCCGUUGCACUCGUACAGCUAGGUUCAAACCUACGCAAAGGAAUUUCCCCCGCAUCCACCAUAAUCCAUGGUAACGGCGUAAGGGCCACAGUGCACAGGUAACUUGUUGUAGAAGCUUGCCUCCUCCUCCUUUGCAGCAUACUUCUAAAAGUAAAGCACAAUAUUGAACAUCGAGUUCGCGAAAGACAUAAUCACCUGAUAGUCAAUCGUCGGUAAACACGAUCAUUUACUAACCUUAUUCUUUUCUUCACAUUUGGAUUUGUGAUCGGCGAUCCAUCAAAGGGGAUUUGGAGUUCAUCGGGCUGCCAAGUUGUCAACGACCUGUGGCGUCGAAUUACCUGUACUUUCAAACUUGGAAACAGAUCGUUGUUCUGUGAAAAGCAGUGGGAAUUUCUCGUUCGAAAACUAGAUUUUCAUUUUCAAGCUUCCUGUCGGAAAUAUCGGGCGUUUUUAAUAUAUUUUGUAUCGUUGAAUGACGCAGAAGAAUGUGGUUGAACUUCCCUGUGGUUUCACAUUACUAGUAUCGCAACCACUAAUCGACCAUUAAACAUUCUUUUCGAUACUGUCUCAAAACUGCUGCUGGCUGUGGUGUAUAUAGGCGUCGCAUCUUGAGCCUGAGGUGAACGCAUUGUUUGAACUUUAAUUUGUUUCUUAAUUAUAUCGCUUUGAACAAUAAUUUAUCGACAGACUAUCAACGUCUCUUGGAUUAUACAGACGAUCCGGUUUGGUAAUUUUUUAAACGCUAAAGUGAAGGAAAAUUAUCUUGACGUUAAAACUCUCGAUCCUGAUCAUGGCGUUGAAUGGAGUAAUGUGUCAAUUAUGCUUCAAACUGUCUGUCAUCAUUAUUCUGUUCACUUUCUUUUUUACCACGAUAGAAGGGGAGAAGGUAGUUCAACAGCGAGCUGGAGAAUGCGUCACUUGCGAUGAAAACGCAGUCUGGAUGGAAAAGAUCAAAUCGAUGGAGAGAAGAGCCAACUUCCUUGAAAGAAGGCACACCCGAAUGGACAACUCGCUAACCGACCUUGAGGAAUGUGACUGCGAGAGAUGACGAACAUGAGGAACAUCCGACAUCGCAACAGCCUCAUUUUUAUUCCAUGAUCGACAGCUCCACGUCAACCAUCAAAUGUUGCACACAUCGUCGUAUCCGUCUACGUCUAUUAUGCUGCCGUCUGCAUGGGUCCUUUGAUUUUCUUUCCAAAAGUCAAGUUCAUGACAUUAUAUCUUGUAUUAAAAUUAUGUUGGCAGGGUCAACCCAGUAGAUCGAUAACUCAAGAGACCGACAUUGGCAAUAGGUUCACUAGACCGAUACCCGACGAGA